CUUCAAGCCCCGGUUCCUGUCCCCAACCCUAACCCCCUUGCCGUACCCACCUCUAGACCCUCAACUCCAAAUUCCCUUAUCUCCAAGUCCCUUACCUCUGAAAGUACUUCUGACUUUCCCAACUCCAGGCGCAGACUCCGACUCUGACAGUGACCUGUCCUUGGAGGAGGAGAGGAGUCUCUCCAUUCCAUCUUCAGAAAGCGAGGACAAUGGCCGGACGCGGGGGCGCUUCCAACGGCCACUCUGCCGAGCAGCCCAGAGUGAGAGGCUCCUCACCCACCCCAAAGAUGUGGAUGGCAAUGACCUCCUGUCCUACUGGCCAGCCCUGGGGGAGUGCGAGGCAGCCCCCUGUGCUCUGCAGACUUGGGGCUCUGAAAGGCGCCUGGGGCUGGACACCAGCAAGGAUGCAGCUAACAACAACCAGCCAGACCCGGCCCUGACCAGUGGGGAUGAGACUUCUCUGGGCCGGGCCCAGCGCCAGAGGAAAGGCAUCCUGAAGAACCGGUUGCAAUACCCACUGGUGCCACAGACCCGAGGUGCCCCUGAGCUGUCCUGGUGCCGUGC
rnacentral:lncRNA from 1 species